rnacentral:rRNA from 1 species
UUGCUGCUUUGCUGACGAGUGGCGGACGGGUGAGUAAUGUCUGGGAAACAGCCUGAUGGAGGGGGAUAACUACUGGAAACGGUAGCUAAUACCGCAUAACGUCGCAAGACCAAAGAGGGGGACCUUCGGGCCUCUUGCCAUCGGAUGUGCCCAGAUGGGAUUAGCUAGUAGGUGGGGUAACGGCUCACCUAGGCGACGAUCCCUAGCUGGUCUGAGAGGAUGACCAGCCACACUGGAACUGAGACACGGUCCAGACUCCUACGGGAGGCAGCAGUGGGGAAUAUUGCACAAUGGGCGCAAGCCUGAUGCAGCCAUGCCGCGUGUAUGAAGAAGGCCUUCGGGUUGUAAAGUACUUUCAGCGGGGAGGAAGGGAGUAAAGUUAAUACCUUUGCUCAUUGACGUUA